rnacentral:rRNA from 1 species
UACGGAGGAUGCAAGCGUUAUCCGGAAUGAUUGGGCGUAAAGCGUCCGCAGGUGGCUGUGUAAGUCUGCUGUCAAAGAGCAAAGCUCAACUUUGUAAAGGCAGUGGAAACUACACGGCUAGAGUGCGUUCGGGGCAGAGGGAAUUCCUGGUGUAGCGGUGAAAUGCGUAGAGAUCAGGUGGAACACCGGAGGCGAAGGCGCCUGCCUGGCAGUGUAUUGACGCUGAGGUGCGAAAGUGCGGGGAGCAAACAGG